UUGAAAAGAGAGUUAAACAGCACGUGAAAUUGUUGAAAGGGAAGCGCUUGCGACCAGACUCGCCCGCGGGGUUCAGCCGGCAUUCGUGCCGGUGUACUUCCCCGUGGGCGGGCCAGCGUCGGUUUGGGCGGCCGGUCAAAGGCCCCUGGAAUGUAGUGCCCUCCGGGGCACCUUAUAGCCAGGGGUGCAAUGCGGCCAGCCUGGACCGAGGAACGCGCUUCGGCACGGACGCUGGCAUAAUGGUCGUAAACGACCCGUCUUGAAACACGGAACCAAGACACGGGUCGUUUACGACCUUUAUGCC
rnacentral:rRNA from 1 species